GUAUAUAAACGAUUACUUCCGUUUCAGUUGAUGCUGCCUAUACCAUGCAGGAAAGAGAUCUCCCUUUACAGCCUUCAACAAUUGCACAAGAAAUGACGCAGGUAACUCCUGUCCUAAUGGAGCAGAGUGUGCAAGUACAAUUGGCACCAGAUAACUCAUCCGGCUCUGUCACAUUUCAACAAAUGGUCAUGCGCCAACUCGCCAUCAUGGCCAAAAAUGACGCUGCAAGAGCAGUACUGUUAACAGCAAUCAGUGCACGGCUUGAAAAUAUUCAACCAGUACCUGUGGUGAACGAUGUUCCAACGGUUCCCGUCUCCAUGCCAUCAUUGCCGAUCAAGACGGUUGAUGGACUACGUGAUUUUGAAGAACACCUACAAAAUGAGGAUCACUUCUUUGAAUUGGUACGUAUAGUACGGAUGAUUGGUGGAGUUGCUUUAAGUGACGCGGUGAAACGUGCUUGGAAAAAAGUUCUUCUUCGUUCCGGAUCACGAACUACCACCUGACAGGCAAAUAACUAGGUCGGGCUGACUCGUUCGUAAACCAACUAUAUUUGAUCUGUAAUACAUUAAACGCCGCCAGAGGCGCUGUAAUCAGUGCUUUCUUGGUGGCCGAUAUCUGUGAAAGCCCUUUCUUCACAAAUUUCGUCGAGGUAGAGCAGACGUCAGUAUUUUUGUGUUAGAAUUCCAAUAAGAACCAGUAUUUUUCACCUGCGUUAGUGUUUUCAAUCAACAAGUGUUGCUCAGCAGGGGGAAAAGGGGGAUGAUGGCGUGGGAUACGCGGGUAUUACCCCGCCAAACGCGUGGGAAGCUCCGGUAAAUGAAUGUUUUAAAAGUGGAUUUUCUACCCCAAGACAUCAUUUGCAGCCCCAUAAACAAGGGAUACUGCAAAAGAUUGCUCAAGGGAAUGCUGAAAGAAGUUGAGACCAGGCUUAGAAAAUCCCAUAGUGGAUCAACCAGGAAUCUAUGACUCUGACUAGGGCUUGACCCCACUUAGAUCGAGGAGUUUUUUCAUCUAUCCGGUGCGGGGCUUUUAUUUUUCAGUUCGGUGAUUUCGAUGCCCGGUGUAGUGAUUUCCGUGCUUGGUGCAAGCCCCAAUUAUCAAUGUAAGGCCAUCCCCGAUUUUAAUCCCAGAUUUUAAUCCCCGAUUAGACCCUUAUAGCACCGCUUUCUACAAAGUAUCUUCCAUAUUUUCUUCAAUGAAAUAUUCUCUUUCGUUUGAAAAAUUUUGUUUUACCCUUUUCUAAGACGAUUUACAAAUUAUUCAAAACAUCAGUACUUAAAAAAAAUGUAUUACACACACAUAAAUAUUUGUUAUAUCCUACACAUUAUUAACAUGAUUUUAUUGUUUAUACUAUGUUGGUAGUUUAUUUAAGUCUAUGUUAGAGGUAUAAUCAAAUACUGCAACGUAGACUUUCAUUCCUUGUGAUCCAAAUUGGAAAGUGGGAGUUACCCUGCCGCCAACAAGAACUAAAUGAGACCCUAGUCACGUAUUCUGGUUGACCUAUCAGUAGACAAGGUCACUGAUAAGACAACUCCUCUAUGGCUGAAGCGGUGCUUUCGGUGUAGCACCGGUUCUAGCCUCGUACCGCACCACACACAAAAAAUCACCGCACCGAACGUCCCCGAUCCUCUUUUUCCGGUGAGGGUUUGCGGUGUCCCCGAUGGCCCGAUCAGAUUGAGAUCAGGGCCGAGACCUAACUCUGACCCUGUUAAAUUUCCUGCCUUUUUAAAAAAGAAACUCAGCAUCCGGAACUGGUCUAUUUACUCAUUUUUUUGCAGUUACCUCAGUUAUCGUAUCAUUGCUUUGUGUGCCAAACACGCAGUUGAUGUCAUAAUUCAUACCGUACUCGACGAAAUAAGACAAAAGUCUAUCAAUUAUGAAUAGAUUCUCGUGUUAUUGAGUGUCUCUCACGAGAGGUACAGUUGCGAUGGAAACUACACAGCAUUAUUUUGAUAGAGAAAAGAUAGCUUUAGUGAAUAACAUCCGGAGCGCAAAAAGAAUGAGUGGUUUCGACGAACUUAUGUAUAAAGAAUGCAAUUUCACUGUACACUUGUAUACAAGAAAACAGGUGGUCGUCGCAAUUCAGCUGAACUUUGAAACACGAUAAGGAAAACCAAAGAGAAAAAAAAUAUUAAAAAAAAAAAAAACAACAUUCGUCGUCCUGUGUCCAUACUGUCAGUUAUCGGCUUUUUCAAAUCGAAUUUGUCGAGGAAUGCGGU
rnacentral:lncRNA from 1 species